UGAUGGAUGGGCUUUUCUGCCAUGCGGGUUUUCGUCAUCUUUACUUUUAUACGAGGGUUCUGCUUGUGUUCAGCAGUUAAGCGCCUACCGCGCUCCACGACUUCCGCAACACCAGUCAGAACUUUGCCUUGCUUCUUAGUCCUUGUGGUUAACGUAGCACGAAUCAACCGAAGGGAGUGAAUUCGAAGACAUGCUGGCUGCAAUCCUGAACCAGACUGAACUCGUUUUAUAUUGUGUCCUUUUGUUCUUGCAUGUGUUACAGCGUUGCCAGCGCGCGCGCGUGUCUUACUAUGCAGCUAUUAGCGUUCUCACUUUGUAGCAAAACAAAAAUAUAACUGCAAUGUUUACUGCAUCUAUACAAUUCAAAUGUAAUCGUCUGCUGAUGUACAAAUUUCACUUGUUUUGUUCUAAAUAAGCAGCAAACGUUUAGCCCAGUAAGGGCUUCAUAUGGGAGUGCAAUCACGACUGCUUGACAUUUAUUAAUGAAUGAUUGUGACCGGGUCACCUCAUUUGUAAUUGCAAAUCUGUCUUUCAACUGACUUGAUGCUCUCUUAUCUUGUUCCUUUCACUCAAUAGACGGCUGGACAUCCUUCUUGUACCUUGGCGCUAGCUGGAUGACGGGACCUCAUCAUGAUCAGUGUAUUGUUUGCCUAUGUCUACGAAGACUGUUGUGUCAAGACACAACAAAAACCUUCAUGCGUGGCCUUUGACAGCAAGCUUUGUGGGCAACCAGUGCUCUCCUACGAAGGCUCACCUGCUCUGGCAGCGGCGGCAAUGAUCUUCAAGGUUUAUCCAUGAUCACCUUUGCUGCUAUUUGUCACUCUUGUUAAUAACACUUUCUGCAUAUUUUCUAAUUUAUUAGUCAAUAAAGUACGACUAUGUGA